ACGCUGGCGGCACGCCUAACACAUGCAAGUCGAACGAAGUAGCAAUACUUAGUGGCAGACGGGUGAGUAACAUGUGGGUAUCUACCCUUUGGCCUGGAAUAACACGAGGAAACUUGUGCUAAUACCGGAUAAGUCUUUACGGAGAAAGCUUUAUGCACCAUUGGAUGAGCCUGCACUUGAUUAGUUUGUUGGUGGGGUAAUGGCCUACCAAGACUUUGAUCAAUAGCUGAUUUGAGAGGAUGAUCAGCCACAUUGGGACUGAGACACGGCCCAAACUCCUACGGGAGGCAGCAGUGGGGAAUCUUGCACAAUGGAGGAAACUCUGAUGCAGCGAUGCCGCGUGAGUGAAGAAGGCCUUUGGGUUGUAAAGCUCUUUCGUCGGGGAAGAAAAUGACUGUACCCGAAUAAGAAGGUCCGGCUAACUUCGUGCCAGCAGCCGCGGUAAUACGAAGGGACCUAGCGUAGUUCGGAAUUACUGGGCUUAAAGAGUUCGUAGGUGGUUGAAAAAGUUGGUGGUGAAAUCCCAGAGCUUAACUCUGGAACUGCCAUCAAAACUUUUCAGCUAGAGUUUGAUAGAGGAAAGCAGAAUUUCUAGUGUAGAGGUGAAAUUCGUAGAUAUUAGAAAGAAUACCAAUUGCGAAGGCAGCUUUCUGGAUCAUUACUGACACUGAGGAACGAAAGCAUGGGUAGCGAAGAGGAUUAGAUACCCUCGUAGUCCAUGCCGUAAACGAUGUGUGUUAGACGUUGGAAAUUUAUUUUCAGUGUCGCAGCGAAAGCGAUAAACACACCGCCUGGGGAGUACGACCGC
rnacentral:rRNA from 1 species